rnacentral:rRNA from 1 species
UACGUAGGCAGCGAGCGUUGUUCGGAGUUACUGGGCGUAAAGCGUGCGUAGGCGGUUGUCUAAGUUUGGUGUGAAAUCUCCUGGCUUAACUGGGAGGGUGCGCCGAAAACUGGGUGACUGGAGUGUCGGAGAGGUAAGCGGAAUUCCUGGUGUAGCGGUGAAAUGCGUAGAUAUCUGGAGGAACACCGGUGGCGAAGGCGGCAUCCUGGACCGAUACUGACACUGAGGAGCGAAAGCCAGGGGAGCAAACGGG